GGUGGCACAGCUAUGCAAGGGUGGUCGCGGCUAGCCAAGGUAUGGUGGGUGUGCCAAGGCAUGGUUAGGUGUCCGCGUGAACACGGCAAUUGGCGAUGCACACCACCUGUUGGGCGAAAUGUGUGGCCGACGGAAGAAGAUGGCCGUGGCCGAGGCAUGGACUCAUCAAGGUGAACGGCGACACCCACAGCCAAAAGUACGUCGACGAGGCCACCAAGAAGGAGGUCAAGGACAUCUUUCGGCCGCUAUGACCGCACCCUCCUCGUCGUCGACCCCAGGCGCUGCGAGCCCAAGAAGUUUGGUGGGCGCGGAGGUACCAGAAAUCGUGUCGUAAUUGCUAGAUCAUGUAUCAAUUGGUGUUGCGUGUUCUGGUUCUAUACCUAGCUACAUCUUUACAUAUAUGCUAUGGGAGUUUAGAA